rnacentral:lncRNA from 10 species
CCAGUGGCUCAUGCCUGUAAUCCCAAUACUUUGGGAGGCCGAGGUGGGCAGAUAUCUUGAGCUCAGGAGUUCAACAAUAGCCUGGGCCAUAUGGGGAAACCCUGUCUCUACAAAAAAUACAAAAAUUAGCCGGGUGUGGUGGCAUGCACCUGUAGUCCCAGCUACUUGGGAGGCUGAGGUGGGAGGAUCACUUGAAUCCAGGAAGCAGAGGUUGCAGUGAGCCAAGAUCACACCACUGCACUCUAUCCUGGGUGACAGAAUGAGGCUCUGUCUCACAAAAAAAAAAAAAAAAAAAAAAAAAAAGUAAAGCAAUCUUUACUUUCCCCAGUUACUGAGGAAGCUGAGAGCUGAGGCAGGAAGGAUCACUUGAACCCAGGAGCUGUGGGCUGUAGUGUGCUAUACUAUUCGAGUGUCUGCACUAAGUUCGCCAUCAAUAUGGUGACUUCCCAAGAGUGAGGGGCCACCAGGUUGCCUAAGGAGGGGUGAACUGGCCCAAGUCAGAAACUGAGCAGGUCAAAACUCCCGUGCAGCGCUGGGCGCAGUAGCUUACACCUGUAAUCCCAGCACUUUGGGAGGCUGAGGCAGGCGGAUCACCUGAGGUCAGGAGUUCAAGACUAGCCUGGCCAACAUGGCGAAACCCCAUCUCUACUAAAAAAUACAAAAAUUAUCCAGGCGUGGUGGCACGUGCCUGUAAUCCCAGCUACUCGGGAGGCUGAGGCAGGGAGAAUUGCUUGAACCUGGGAGGCAGAGGUUGCAGUGAGCUGAGAUUGCGCCAUUGCACUCCAGCCUGAAUGACAGAGUAUGACUCUGUCUGAAAAACAGAAACAAAAAACUCCCAUGCUGAUCAGCUGUGGGAUCAUGCCUGUGAAUAGACACUGCACUCCAGCCUAGGCAACAUGGUGGGGACUAUGUCUCUAUAAAAUAAAUAAAUUAAAAUUAAAGUAAUCCCUAGGCUAUUGAUAUAAUAAUAUCCGUUUCCAUUCCAAUAUGCUUCCUAGGAGAGACUGGAGUAGGUACUGAAAUUGUGCAUGUGAUCCUGUUUACACGUGAACAGUAAUCUGUUCUUUCUGGAGAUGAAUAAAAAGAUUGAGAGUCUGUCGUAGAUCAAGAGACUGACAGUGUGGGCGAGGUGCAGUGGUUCACACCUAUAAUCCCAGCACUUUCAGAGGCCAAGGCAGGAGGGUCUCUUGAGCUCAGGAGUUCAAGACCAGCCUGGGCAACAUAGCAAAACUUCAUUUCUACUAAAAAUAAAAAAAAAUUAGCCUGGUGUGGUGGUGCAUGUCUGUAGUCCCAGCUACUUGGGAGGCUAAGGUGGGAGGAUCAUUUGAGCCCGGAAGGUCGAGGCUGCAGUGAGCUAUGAUAGUGCCACCGCACUGCAGCCUGGGCAACAGAGUGAGACCCUGUCUCAAAAAAUUAAAAAUAAAAAAAGGAGACUGACAGCAGGAUCUCAGAGACCCUAGAUCUUCUGGUUAGUCUUGAGUUUAUUAGCCAAACAUAAUAAAAACAAUAAAAACUACGUAUUGAUGUUGUAUAUAGUUAUUAGGCAACAGGAGCUAAUACCUGAAAUGAGAAGUACCAUCUUGUUUAUUAAUUGGAAUUUGAGAGAAAAUGGGGUACCUAAGGGAGAAAUGAGCUGUAAACCUUCCCUGAGAGCAGGAGCUCAAAGUAUAAUAGUAAGCUACAGUGGUAAAACCAAUCACAUUUUGAAAGAUGGAUUUUGUGGUUUUUGUUUGGUUGACUGGUAUCUAAUUUUGUUAGUUAUAAAAGUUAUAUGUCACCAGUUGUACAUUAUUCGUUUUUUAGGGUGCCAUAACAAAGUACUGCAGACUGGGUGGUAUAAACAACAGAAAUUUAUUUGCUCACAGUUCUGAAAGUUAGAAGUCUGUGGUCAAGAUGUCAGCAGGGGGCCAGGCACAGUGGUUCACACCUGUAAUCCCA